rnacentral:rRNA from 1 species
ACGCUCGACACCUACGGGAUGCAGCAGUGGGGAAUAUUGCACAAUGGGGGAAACCCUGAUGCAGCGACGCCGCGUGGAGGAAGAAGGUCUUCGGAUUGUAAACUCCUGUUGUUGGGGAAAAAGAGGAUGGUACCCAACAAGGAAGUGACGGCUAACUACGUGCCAGUAGCCGCGGUAAUCUGAGCGGGCGUGGCAAGGCG